UACGGAGGGUGCAAGCGUUAUCCGGAUUCACUGGGGUUAAAGGGUGCGUAGGUGGCUUUGUAAGUCAGUGGUGAAAGCCCGGAGCUCAACUCCGGAACUGCCAUUGAUACUGCUUAGCUUGAAUCACGUCGAGGUGGAUGGAAUAAUACAUGUAGCGGUGAAAUGCUUAGAUAUGUAUUAGAACACCGAUUGCGAAGGCAGUUCACUAGGCGUGUAUUGACACUGAGGCACGAAAGCGUGGGGAUCAAACAGG
rnacentral:rRNA from 1 species